GGGGAUGACUGGUUUCGACGGGGCAAAUAGGGCGUAAGCUGCAAGCCGAGGUGCUCCACCCUCGUAAAUCCGGGGCAAAAACAUAACUGCCAACACAGGCAAAGCGUUCACCUUCCCCUUCGCCCGCACCAACGCCAUGGCGUUGGCCGCGUAACGAGGUAGGAUAGGGAACAAACUGGUCGCCGCAGGGUGACCACGGUGCCCUCGAUGGGGCCAGGCGGCAUCGAGGCGCAUUGUCAGAAACCGUAAGGUGCGGCCCGUCGAUGCCGAUAAGCGGGUCUAAGGCUCUCGGCUAGUCGAACUAGUGGACGGUGGUCACUGCCGAACCGUUCGGCGAAACCUGAAUCAGCGGCUAAGCUUGUAGAUGCGUACGUUCGUUUGUUUCGGACCCGGGUUCGACUCCCGGCAUCUCCACUC
rnacentral:tmRNA from 1 species